UGAUAUAAUGAUGAUAAUUUGAAAAUGAAACUUGACACGUGAGAGUCACACGUUCGAAAUUCUCAACAGAAUCUCGAUGUUAGGGUUUUGCUUUCUCAAAUUUUCAACAGAAUCUCGAUGUUAGGGUUUUGCUUUCUCAAUUCGAGAAACUAGUUAGCGUUAUGUCGUUCAUUCACCUCGAUCGUUUCCCUCCAUGCUCGAGGAUUCUGAAAGACGAAAUCUCGGUUCAGAUUGCUUCCCAACAACAUCACCGUCAACAACAUCGCAACUCACUCGGACACAUAAAAUAAGGAUUUGUCAACAUAAAAUGGAUGAUUGUUUGGGAACCUCAUCUUUAGAAGGCCAUAACUAUGAUUCUUUCUGCUGCUAAUGAUUCCAAAUGGCAAACUAGAUCUGCAUACUUUCAUGUACAGGCACGCUUUCAUUCUCUCAACUUCAAAGAAACAAGAAAUUUGGAGAACGGUUGAGAAGUUACCAGUAGACAUCCAAGUUAGGCAAGC